rnacentral:rRNA from 1 species
UUUCACUGAAACAAGGGAAAACAUUAGCAGCAGUAAGGAAUUUUAUGUAAUAUACGAAAGUAAGACAUAGUUAGGACAUUUUUAUCUGUCAAAUUAAGUGCCAGCAGACGCGGUGAAACUUAAGGAUUUGUUUUUUAGAAAAAGCAGAAAGCGUGUAAAGGUAAAAAAAUAUUUAAAAUAAAUAGAAUUUUUUUAGUAAUAGUGAAAUGUUAUUAUAAGGAAAAGAAUUCUUUAUGUGAAAAUAAUUUAUUUUUUUUUUCUUAAGCACGAGGGUUUUGGGAGUAAACAGGAUUAGAGACCCUGGUAAUCAAUACAGUAAAAAAAAAUCGCUUGAGUAGUACGGUCGCAAGAUUAAAAUUCAAAAAAUUUGGCUGUUCAUUGUUAUUUAGAGGAGCGUGUCGUUUAAUUCGAUAAUCCGCGAAUUACCUUACCAAGACUUGGUUUUCCGGUGUUGCAUGGCCGUCGUCAAUUUAUGUUUGAUACAAUAAAUUAAAUCCUAGAAAGGUUGAAGUCAGGUAUUAUUGCCCUUAUGUUUUGGGAUUAGAUGCGCUACAUUUUUUUAAUAAAAAAAAAAGAGUUCGGAUUGUUUUUUAAAUAGAGCAAUUAAGUUGAAUUUAAUAGUAAUUUAAAAGUAGAGCGUUUCAAUGAAUUUAAAACAAUGUUAGUACAAAUUGCCCGUCGCCUUUGCUGAGGUAAACAAAGCAGAGUAAGUCGUAACA